GUAUGCUUAUAAUACGUAAAACCUGCUCAAUGACAUUAUCUUAAAUAGCCGCAGUACAAUGUGCUAAGGUAGCAUAAUAAUUUGCCUUAUAAUUAAAGGCCAGAAUGAAAGGUUAAACAUAUGAAUUUCUUUAUUAAUAAGGGUACUUAAACUUUACAUAUAAGUAAAAAGGCUUAUAUUCCAAGAGGGACGACAAGACCCUGUCGAGCUUCACUUUAGUUUAACUGGGGCGGUCCAAAACAAAUUCUUUAUUUUUUAUCCAUAUCCUAUCCUUUAAAAAAGAAUAAAACAAGUUACCGCAGGGAUAACAGCAUAAUUCUUUUUUCAAGACCCUAUUCUAAAAAGAGAUUGUGACCUCGAUGUUGAAUUAUUUUAUCUUUUAGGAGCAAAACCUUAAAAAGAAAGUCUGUUCGACUUUUAAAAAUUUACAUGAUUUGAGUUCAGACCGGCGCAAGCCAGGUCGGUUUUUAUCUUCUAUCACCUAUUUUCAGUACGAAAGGACCAAAAUAAGAGCUUCUAGCUUUACUUUUAGCAAAAA
rnacentral:rRNA from 1 species